UACAUUAACACAUUUUUAUUUCAAUAGCUCUAUCGAAAGCAACAACAGUGAUAAAUAUAAACACUAUGCAACGCUCAACAUUCCUUCAAUAGAGCCCCCCACCCCCAGGAAGUAAAUGAGAAAUAAAGACAAGGAAAAAAAGGUGCCUUGAGGAGCCAUUAACAUGCAGAAAAACAACUAUGCUAUUUAAAGGGGGGUUGGGUGGAAUCCACCAAGAACAGUUAUUUUGAAAAAUCAUUCUGAUUUUAAUUGUUUUCCCCUAAAGACGUACGUUGCUGAGAAAAUAUAAUGCACAUCUGAGGAUCAACAACUCCACAGUAUGAAGAGAACGUUCCGUAAAGCUAAAUUACAAAGCCAUUCAAUUCUGAAAGAAAACACAGGUAGCAAUGAAAAUGACACCUUCCUCAUCACUGUGGCGGUUGCCAUCAAUCAACCAGUUGUUAUUUCGUACUACACAGCAGCAAAUAAAAUAGUAAUAGUUACAAAACAUUAGGCAGCGAGUUCAACUUCUUUUCACUUUAAAAAAAAAAUAUUUUUAAUUUUUUUUUUACAAAACUGCAAAAUUUCCAAGUCGAACUUUUGGAAAAAAAGUUUCUGUCUGUUUAGUUUAAAAAUGAUUUGAAACCCUCGUCUGUCUUUAGGAGUCUCAGCCAAAAGUAUCAACACUACAGAGAUUUAACUUCUGCUCUGUUCUGUAAACUAGAUGAAACAAAGAAAAUACAACUGUUUACGCAGUUCCACUUCCUCUGUAAUAUAUUACGUAGGUAUUAUUAUCCAGAGUUUCCCAUUCUUUUCUCAAGGGUUUGUUAUCGUUUACUCAGAACGCUAUGGCCCAACUUAGUAUGCACACUAGUAGCUUGUCGCACACUACUGAGAAUGCAAGUCCAGUACAUGUCUAGAAUGGUGUUUUGGGACGUGACCGUAGUGGCCAAUCUCAGAUCAGCACAGUACAAAGCAGAAUCUUCAUUCACUAAAACUAAAUCGUAAGAAAAACUGAGCAAUGCCGAUAGGCCUGAUAAUCGAUACUCAUCCC
ensembl:lncRNA